GCCCUUUGGUAGGUGCGCUUUGCUUCCUAACCCGUUGCCGGGUUGGAGAUUCCACCUCCGAAGUUUUCUUUCUGACUUUUGAUUUUACAUUCCUAGUACAGUGGAGAAGCCCAGGCGGCCUAGAAUCCAGUGUCGUCCGUGAGUGCUUGGCUGGUGUUCAAGUGCAUCUUCCAGCCUGAGACCGCGUGGACUCGCUCAUCGUGAGGGCGAGAGGAGGAUAAGCCCAUUGGGCUGUCGGCUGAGAGUGAGGUGCGGGAUUGCUGAUGAAAUCCUUGGCAUCGUCGGAGAUCUCAUCGAAUGCCUCGUCGUCGAAGUCCCAGGUGGCUGAGGUAACGUUGGCCAAGGUUUCGUUAUCGUUGUCUCCCAUGAAGGGGGAAAGGCCACUGACUCUGGAGAGACAAGAGCAGGACAGCAGGUGUGGCUAGGAGAGGGCGCGACGACCAGAUGAGGGAAUUGAGGCACAGCCCAGGCUCAAGUCACCUGCCCAAAGAUUCACAGCCAGUGAGAUUGGAAGCCAGGUAUCUGCCUCUAGAGCCUGUCCUCUUAAAUGCUAUACUAUCCUAACAUUUCUGUAAAGAUGAAGUAAAUUGCAGUGUUCAGCACUGGCACCAGGCCUGGUCCACAGUAAGGAGGCGGUCCAUGCCCGGAGAUCUCAUGCAGUUCUGCUGGGUUCCCUCCACUGCCUUACCAAGCUGUGAGUGCAGGAAUGACUUUGUGACCAGCAGCUUAAGCCAAAUAAACUUUAUAAGGUAAAGAAUUUCAAAACAAAAUAGAGCAGA
rnacentral:lncRNA from 1 species